AAUACUUUGUCAAAUUAUGUACGCUAUAAACAAACUAAUAGAUUGGUAAUCUAUACGACUAAAAUGAGUGAAGAAUGUAAACGCUCUUUAUUGAAAAUAGAUACCGUUUCUGAUUACCCGUCUCAAAGAUUUGGUAAUUCAUGUUAAAACUUACUGUGCCGUAUACUGACAUGGAUUUUAAAUAUUUAAUUUGUUUGUUUUUCACAAUUUGCACAGUGUCAGAGGUUCUGCCUUUGGAAUGUUACCAAUGCGCUUCGGUAACCACGUCAAAUUGUGGGAUCCUUUCAUAUCAGAAGGCGUAACCACUACGAAUUGCGUCGGGGUGUGCACGAAAAUAAUAAUCGACGAAAACAUAGCUUUCGAUGACGGAGAUAUAGUGAGAGAUUGCCUCACAAGCGACUACAGAUAUAGCGGAGAUAAAUGCGAACAGGCUUCCGCGCUUGGCUACGAAGGCAAAGUCUGCUUGUGCAAUUCCGAUCAUUGCAAUGGUGUCGGCUCGACAUCAGCUUCUUGGAGUAGUAUUGUUCUAACAGCCAUUUUGUUCUCCAAUCACAUUGUAUCUUGGAUGUAAAGAUUAGUGAGAAAGACAACACAAUUACAAACUUUUAGUAGUGCUCUACUGUGAAAAUCAUAACAAAACAUUAUACUCUUGGCAAGUUUUGUGACUUGUUACAGAACUGAAAUUUGUGGGUUUUCAAUUUUGAUUUUCGUAAUUUAUUGUAUUUGCUGUUUUAGUCAACGACCACAACAGUCGCGUAUGUGUGCCGCCAUGUUGGAGUAUCCAAAAUAAUGACGUCACAGUGUAAAAUACCCUUUCACGUGACAAAAUUAUACUAAAAAAAGGUAUUAAGCGAAUGUCGAAAGAAGGCGUGAAGUUUACUACGAUAUUUAUCGACAUUACCCGAUAUUUACCGGUUCAUUAGGGUCCGUAAUCCUAAAGUCAAUACUAAGACUUACAUAGCGCGGUGAAAUUAAGCUCUUGAAAGCUGUAUUCAUUAUUCAAAAAUCAUUAUCAAUAUGAGUAAUUUGUAGGCAAUUACAAGAACGGAUUAGUCGGAUUUAAAUCUAUUCGAAAAUCAUUGAAAGCGUUUAAGGUCAGUCAUUUGGUAAAUUUCCGUUCAUAGAAUAUCAACAGAAUACGAAUGCAAUACGAAAGCUGACACCUUGAUAAUGUUAUAGUUAACAUAAUGUCAUUAACUGAUAAAGCAUUAUCACGUACGUCUUAUAUCUUUACCACUGCUGUCUUAUAUGCCGUACUAAGUGGCUCAAAAGUGUACUUUCAACAGCAUUAAGACCUAAUAUUAAUAAUAUAUAUAUAUACGUCA